rnacentral:rRNA from 1 species
CAUGCAAGUCGAGGGGCAGCAUGGUCUUAGCUUGCUAAGGCCGAUGGCGACCGGCGCACGGGUGAGUAACACGUAUCCAACCUGCCGUCUACUCUUGGACAGCCUUCUGAAAGGAAGAUUAAUACAAGAUGGCAUCAUGAGUUCACAUGUUCACAUGAUUAAAGGUAUUCCGGUAGACGAUGGGGAUGCGUUCCAUUAGAUAGUAGGCGGGGUAACGGCCCACCUAGUCUUCGAUGGAUAGGGGUUCUGAGAGGAAGGUCCCCCACAUUGGAACUGAGACACGGUCCAAACUCCUACGGGAGGCAGCAGUGAGGAAUAUUGGUCAAUGGGCGAGAGCCUGAACCAGCCAAGUAGCGUGAAGGAUGACUGCCCUAUGGGUUGUAAACUUCUUUUAUAAAGGAAUAAAGUCGGGUAUGGAUACCCGUUUGCAUGUACUUUAUGAAUAAGGAUCGGCUAACUCCGUGCCAGCAGCCGCGGUAAUACGGAGGAUCCGAGCGUUAUCCGGAUUUAUUGGGUUUAAAGGGAGCGUAGAUGGAUGUUUAAGUCAGUUGUGAAAGUUUGCGGCUCAACCGUAAAAUUGCAGUUGAUACUGGAUAUCUUGAGUGCAGUUGAGGCAGGCGGAAUUCGUGGUGUAGCGGUGAAAUGCUUAGAUAUCACGAAGAACUCCGAUUGCGAAGGCAGCCUGCUAAGCUGCAACU